rnacentral:rRNA from 1 species
AUUGAACGCUGGCGGCAAGCCUAACACAUGCAAGUCGAACGAGCGGCGGACGGGUGAGUAACGUCUGGGAAACUGCCUGAUGGAUGGGGAUAACUACCGGAAACGGUAGCUAAUACCGCAUAACCUCGGAUGUGCCCAGAGGGGAUUGGCUAGUAGGUUGGGUAAAGGCUCACCUAGGCGACGAUCCCUAGCUGGUCUGAGAGGAUGACCAGCCACACUGGAACUCAGACACGGUCCAGACUCCUAGGUGAGGCAGCAGUGGGGAAUAUUGCACAAGGGGCGCAAGCCUGAUGCAGCGAUGCCGCGUGUAUGAAGAAGGCCUUCGGGUUGUAAAGUACUUUCAGCGGGGAGGCGUUACCCGCAGAAGAAGCACCGGCUAACUCCGUGCCAGCAGCCGCGGUAAUAC